AUCUUCAGGGUCGGGUGAAAGUCCCAACCGGCGGUAUAGUCCGCGACCCAUCGGCAGUAUGUCCGAAAUCAUAUUGCAGAUGGCUGAGCCGUUGAAACUACGGCACCGACGGUAAAGUCCGGAUGGAAGAAGAUG
rnacentral:ncRNA from 1 species